GGACACGACUGGAAACACCAUUUUUCAAUCUUUCAAGAACCAUAACUCCUGAACGGUGAAAUUCAAAAUCGUCAUUAUUUAACUUGACCUCUAUUUUGUCAUCAGUUACAACAUAUUAAAAUUUGGGAAGCUUUGGUAGAACAGUUCAUGCGUAAAUGCACGGACACAACUGGAAUCUCCAUUUUUCAAUCUUUCAAGAACCAUAACUCCUGAACGGUAAAGGUCAAAAUCGUCAUUAUUGAACUUGACCUCCAUUUUGUCAUCAGUAACAACAUAUUAAAAUUUGGGAAGCUUUGGUAGAACAGUUCAUGCGUAAAUGCACGGACACGACUGAAAACUCCAUUUUUCAAUCUUUCAAGAACCAUAACUCCUGAACGGUAAAAAUCAAAAUCGCCAUUAUUGAACUUGACCUUCAUUUAGUUGUCAGUAACAACAUAUUAAAAUUUUAAAAGCUUUGGCUGAACGGUUCAUGAGUUAAUGCACGGACA
rnacentral:lncRNA from 1 species